UACGUAGGGGGCAAGCGUUAUCCAGAUUUACUGGGCGUAAAGCGCGUGUAGGCGGCUGGUUAGGCGUGAUGUGAAAUCUUCCGGCUCAACCGGAAAACUGCAUUGCGAACCGGCCUGGCUAGAGUGCAGGAGAGGGAAGCGGAAUUCCAGGUGUAGCGGUGAAAUGCGUAGAUAUCAGGAGGAACACCUGUGGUGUAGACGGCUUUCUGGACCAUAGCUGACGCUGAGACACGAAAGCGUGGGUAGCAAACAGG
rnacentral:rRNA from 1 species